UCACAUAAUGCAGUCAGAUACAAACAGAUACAAACGAUUCAGAGAGAGGGUCAAAACAGCAGGUCCAGGGACAGGUAGCACAUCCCGUGAACAGGCCAGGGUUCCAUGGCUGCAGACAGAACAGCAGACACUGGAUCAGCAGCACAACAAGGUAGCACGUCCGGUGAACAGGUCAGUGUUCCAUGGCCGCAGACAGAACAGCAGACACUGGACCAGCAGCACAACAAGGUGGAAUGGGAACGUGGAGCUAGCUACCACCCAGGACAUCAUCGCGGCCCGUGGGAUAACCAAAUAGAGGAUAAUCAAGUCCUUAUGAAAAAACAACUCUUAUCAGUUUGGUUUAUAGGCUAAUGAUUACCUCAAUCCUGAUCAAAUUAUCAAACACUUUUUCACUGUAUAUGCGUUCUAUAAAAGCUGCACGAUUUGAGACCACUAUUCAAGACAUCUCAAAGGAUUCAGCAAGCAACCUGUCUGCCCGAAAGCAUCCACUCCUUCAAGAUACCAGCUCAAAAUGAACCCAAGUGUUAGAGAGUUCUGGUUCCAGUCCGGCCCGGCCAAAAAACAGGAGACGCUCCACUCUUCAAGAACUGAGAAAAUAAAGGAUCUCCAGACUACAGUGAUGAGAGAACCAGUGUAUCUGAUUGAGGCGACUCACCAAAGAAUGCACAAUUCAACCGCCAUCGGUUAUGUCCAGUCUGACCCAGCAGUUUCUACAGUGAUGAUGGAGGAACCAGUGUGUCGGAUUAAGAACGACAUCGCUCGUGUGUUUGCGCCCCUGGAGGAGGCUUUGAGUCAUGGAUCCUAUAUUCACCCAGGGGGUUACAAAGACUUCCAUGACAACCUACAGGAGCUAACCAAGCAAUACAGAACAGAGAGAGGCAGGGGAGCAAUGAGUGAGGAACUAUUGAGAGACUAUCUGGAUGAGAAGGCUAGAGUGGGGAACACUAUCCUCUUGGUCGACCAGACUCUCAACAAAGAAGAACACAAAAGUGAAGUGGAGAAGGUGAAGAAGAGGCAGGCAGCAGAACAGGCUCGGAGAGCGGCAGAAGAGAGCAGAUUCAGAUCAGCAACAGCUGAUGGAAAGAUUGGGAAAGAACGAGAGAUCACCAACAGAAUAUAAACAAGUGCUGGAGGCCAGACUUAAGGAGCUGAAGGACCUAACGGAUAAAGGCUUUAAGGAAAUAGGAGAAUACAUGGAGAAGAACAAAAACGCCAUUCAAAGUAACGAUAAUCCAACUCCUCAAAAUAAUGUCUCCAAAAUGUUGGGUGGAGUUGGGACUAUUUGUUCCUUUGUUCCUGGCGUUGGCACUGCGAUUGGGGGCGGUCUUAUCGCCAGUGCCAAAGCUUUAGACUACGCUUCAGAACUCGUAAAGUAACUGUCAGAUUUGUAUAAAAUAUGACCGAUUAUUAAUAAAAAUAUGAGGGAAAUAUUUUCCUUAAAAAAAAUAAAAAAGACGGUCAUUAGGUUUGUUUUCUGUGUUGGAAUGGUGUGGGUCUGUACAGAAACAGAAGGGUGUGAGUGUAUACCAUUCAUUGUAUAUAUUCAUGCAAGUAGACCACUGAUUGGCCAGCUUUGCCAAAGAUGUAGGAUGGCAUCAUUCUCUAUGAGGCAAUAGAGCACAUUUAAAAUAAAAAAAACUGUAUGUUUGAGAUACAAAGUUUGACGUUGUUUAAAAAAUAUAAAAAACUCUCCCAUUUAUGAUUUGGCCACAAUUCCGAGUAUUGGAAGAGUCAACAACAGUAUUCCGGUAUGAGGUAACAGAAUAUGUACGAUUUACACUGGACAGUUACUUUAAAGGGUCAACAGCCCAAAUGCAUACUAUACUUUGCAAUGGAAACACAUAAGCGGCACUUGGCCAGCUGAAUGCCAGCUGAAGGCCAGGCACCACAGGAUGUUCUUGGCUAGCUGAAGGCCAGCUGAAGGCCAGGCACCUCAGGCUGUUCUUGGCUAGCUGAAGGCCAGCUGAAGGCCAGGCACCUCAGGCUGUUCUUGGCUAGCUGAAGGCCAGCUGAAGGCCAGGCACCUCAGGCUGUUCUUGGCUAGCUGAAGGCCAGCUGAAGGCCAGGCACCUCAGGCUGUUCUUGGCUAGCUGAAGGCCAGCUGAAGGCCAGGCACCUCAGGAUGUUCUUGGCUAGCUGAAAGCCAGCUGAAGGCCAGACACUAAAAGACUGAAAUUACAUUUUUGCAUCUACCUAUCAAUAAUGAGAUAUGCUGAUACGUUGAUCCAUAGUAUUAUUAAAAAGUAACAUAAAUUCAACUGGUAAACGCUGAUUGUUAUACGAUUAAGGGGGAAACAUGACCUUAUGAGGGUGGUGCCUGGCCUUAAAGCCACAGUCUAAUAAUUCUGUUUGAUUUUCCUUUAUUCUUCUAGCGUGUCCUUUUCUUUCAGAUUUUUACUGUAAAGUGUAUUGCAAUUUUAAACAAAGAUUGAUUUGAUUUGAUAAACAAACUAUUUAUAAUAAUGUUAGCCACAAUUUGUUGAUUAUAUCUAAUCUAGUAAUGAUGAGUCUAUUAUUAACUGUGGAAAAAGACGUUGACAAAGUUUUGCCACAAUGUCUAAUUACUUCUAAUCGCUUACAUUACUUUGUUUACUUUAUGACAAGUAAUGUCACCUUAUUGUAAAGAGUUACCAAAUAUGAUGUAAAAUACGACACAGUGAAGAUGUAUCUUUAGAAAACGUUUGAUUUAAUAAAUACCGUUCUAACUACAGUGAAAAGCAGUGAUUUGGGGGCAGCGCUGCAUAGCUGUGCCGAUCUGAAUAAUACAGUUUCAAAUGUAAAGAAAAUAAAAAUCUGCUGAGAAA